rnacentral:antisense_RNA from 1 species
AAGGAAGGAGGGUGACUGCAGAGACCGGCCCUGGGCAGCGGUACCAGGGGCACAGGGAGCCUGGCCCGGCCCGUUGUCACUGGAAUUCAUGCCAUGCAGACUUCUACAUCAAAGGGAAACGAGGUCGGGAGGGCCGAGGGGUCCACAGCACUCUGCACCCAUGGGGCCAGGCUGGCGGAAUGCCCCAAUGCUGCAACCCUGGGGAGAGUCACACGCGCCCUCCCGGGACCCACGUGACCGUCAAGGGAGUGUGGCGGACACAUCCCUCAGGGUGACACCCCUGCAGAUGGAGUUUCCCCAUCUGUGCCACCCUUGCAAGGCCUAAGAAAGGCUGCGGGGCCAGGCGGCACCAGGCAAGCUGAGUGCCAGGUGGUUGUUGCAACAUGCUGGGCAAAUCUGAAACCAUGGGGACGGACGAGCUGCACCCCUGGGAAAGAGGACAGAGGGAGGCCAGUUAUCAACGUCCUCCUGUGCCUCGGUUUCCAGAAACAAGCCAGACUCAGUGCCUCAGGGAGACCCCGUGUGGCCUCCGGAGAGCACGGGACCCGCCCUUUGUGCAGGUGACGAAACCAAACCCCAGAGCAGUGAGGGACUGGACCGGGGACCCUGGGCUCAGCCCCGGGCGCCUUCCCUCUGUCCAUCUCAGACAGGCGCACAGCCAGCACCGCCUCACCCCAACGCGCCUCUAGACUGGCCCUCCAGGGGCCCCCGGGGAACAAUCCUCUCACUUUCCUCCUCAAGCCCCCGCCUUUCCCCUUCGCACCGUGACCCAGGGACUGCUAGCAGCUGGGCGGGGCUCCAAGGCUUGAAGCUGCUUCUCCAGGUCUCUUUCCAGGGGGCGGCGGAUGGCUGCUCACUCAGGGACGCCAACACCAACAAGGUGGGACCCAUGCACGGAUCUGACUUCCCUCCCAGGCUCUGCCUUCACUCAAUGUCCCUGUGGGGCAGCUGGGGAUCCCCGCCGCCCUCCCCUGCCCACAGCCGUGAGGUUUCUUCCUAGGGUUCUGUUUUCCCCACAGUUGGAACUGAGGUGCUGGGAGGCUCCAGAAGAGGGACGGGGUGGAGCGAGUGGCCUGGAACCCUCCAGGGCAGACCCCAAAGAGAAGGGUCAGAAGUACCCUCUGGGGCCUGGGCAGAGCCCGCAAGCCUGAGACCCUGUGGGAAGGAAGUGCCCCCACCCCGUGGUAAGAAAGGGGCUGGUAGAGGCUCCUAUGUGGCCCCCUCUGUCCCCUCCCCACCUCUGGCCAGACUUGGGAUGAGCCCUGAGUGGACACAGGCACUACAAUGGGGUCUCGGGGGUGAGGGCUGAGGAGGCUGAGCCUCCAAGGAUCCCAGGGUGCCUGUCCCCACUGCACACCCACCGGGGUACAGGGUAGGGAUAGUGCCAGGAGGGCCACAGCUGCAGGGUCCAUCCCAGGCCGUGGCACACAGGUAGAGGUGGGUGCCAGCCUUCGUGAAGCACCUGCAGAGGCUCCACUCAGGGAGAGAACGAGGCCCUCGCCAAAGGGAUCCUGGGUCACACGGGGCAGCAAGAAAGGGUGGAGCAAGUGGCCUGGAGCAAAGGGUUGGAGAGGCCCCGGUGCGCAUGCUCCCCCAAGCCCAUUCCAGGGCCAUGGGCACCCCCCAAAGGCAGCUGGUGGGACUGCAGCCAUGCAGGUCCUAGAGGGCAGGUGACAGGGGACGUGACAGAAGGGGACAAAGGGCCGGCAACAUCCCUGGGGGAGGCACAGAGAUGGCCAGACUGCCCUCUGUGGACUGCGGAACCCAGAACCCAACGGCCAAUCCUCCCCCUACCCCUCACCCACAGUAAGGGGCCAGGGCUCCAUGCAAUGAGAACCCACGGGUGAUGCCACGCAGGGGAGAGGCCACGCGGGUGAGAGGUCACACGGGGCAGAGGUCACACGGGGCAGAGGUCACAUGGGGGAGGCCGCAGGUGUCACAUGGGGGAGAGGCUACACAGGGGAGAGGCCGCGCGCUGGGGAGACGGCCCCUGCGGGAAGACUCCGAGGCAAUCUGCUGCAGCUCCUUCUGGCUGAAUCUGGUUCAGGAAAUAAAACCAGCCCUUCUGUACAGGUAAGUGAUGCCUGGAUGGAUAAUCUCUGGGCAGCUCACCGCGGUGCUGGCCAUUCUCUUCACAGUAGAAGAGUCCAUUUGGGGAAAAGGUUCCCAUCAGAGAUGGAGAUGUUCCCUUUCAGACUCCAGGCUGUGGCUGUGGGGCCGGCUCCUUACCACACGGGCUGGGGGCUGGGCACAUGGAUGCCCACUCCUGGGCCCUCUUCCUGGUAGGCCACAGCACCACACAAACUGCAAACCAGGCCUCUUCUUCAUCCACCACCACCGUCCAGGCCUCAACAUCACCGCAUGGGGUCUUGUGCCCUUUGGGGAAACUUCUGGGCUAAUGAGGGGGGACAGUCCCCAUUACCGGUCUAUCUUUAUAAGGCAGUAUAUGCAACAGUGGAAGUUCUGUGAGACAUGGGUCAAAGUUCCAACCCCGGGGCGGCUGGCAGAACUGUCCCCAAACCCACCCUCGAUCCCACGGCCAGGAAGUGGGUCCAAAAUUGCCUGGCCAGGUCACACCCCUGCGUGAACUGCCCCACAACACCCAGGGCACUGCCUGACUUGCCGUCCACCUCUCAGCCCCUCCCCUCACCCCUGCCACAGCUGCAGGGCCUACCCUGGCCAGGGGCUGCUCCCUGCUUACCUCCCUCGCCCGUGCAACGCCUCUACUGCCCGCAGGGCCUACCGGGAGAAGUUAUAGGUCACAAUCAUAUUUGAGCGUGAGAAGCUCAUGCAGAGAACAUUCUGGCUGAGGGAGAGGUCUUGGGGUUCAAGACUGUCUCUUGGCUCUGCUCAGCCAUGCCAGGCAGGAAAAUGGGCACCUCUGGCGACCCAGGCUGGCUGAAAGCCUGCAGGGAAGAGCCUUAUGCACGUGUGGGCUGGCAGGACUGCAGCUGGGGUCUCCAUCUACUGCUACAAAGGCAAGGAGGAAAAACGGGGGGGCCCGGAGAUGGCCCCUCUAAGUCUGUAACUCCAGAGCUGCUGCUCAGUCCCCGGAAUGUCACCUCCGAGCAGAGCCUGUGACAACUGUCAACUGUGAAGCUGUGGCGUGGGUUGCUACUGAAGCUCUGAAGUCAGCGAGGACACAGCACGUUUGUUCUAGACCGUUUGGCUGCUGGAGGAAGCUGUACAUGCACACACUCGCCUUACCACCCUGCGAGUCCACAGGCCCCUCCCCGGAGUCACCUCCAGGUAAAGGGGGCCCUGCGUAGGGACUUGCUCUCUGGGGCGCUGAGAUGCUCUAAAAUGAACUGUGCUGCAGUGCACAGCCGCCCGACUGUGCACCCACAACGGGGAACUGAACGCUGCAUGAAUUACAUCUCCAAGUUGUUCUUUGAAAAGGCUUAGGGUCCCUGGAAGACCCUCGCCCACACCCAGCGUGGAGCGUUGUUGCUCACGUGGCCGCACCUCUCGGGAUGGCCGUGGGUCUCUGUGGUUGGCAGGUGAGUGGAACCACAGGUGCUUCCUGUCCUGGUCACAAAGUCAAAGUGGCUGGGCCAAGUGUCCUGAGAAGUGUCACUUCCUGGGAUCCCAUCAGCCUGGCCAUAGCAGAACGCCCAUCCCCGAGGCUCAACUCAACACAUGCAGCCACUGUAGAAAAGUCUGGAAAGUAGUUCUUCAAGCAACUAGACACGGUGAGCAUAAAACCCAGCCAUAACACUCCUAGGCAUCUGUCCCAGAGGAAUGAAAACAUCCCUCCCCUGAAAACUCAUCCUUACGCAGCAGCGUGACUCAAGACGGCCAAAGGCAGAAACACCCCAAAUGUCCAUCAGUGGACAAACGGGCAGACGCAAUGCACUGUCUGUACCAUGGGAUGUCACUCAGCCAUAAGAAGGAAAGAAUCCAUGGUGUGGAUGAGCCCUGGAACCACGGUGAUGCGUGGAAACAGCCAGACGCAAAAGGCCACGUGCCGCGUGAUCCCGUAACACAUGGCCAGAACAGACAUGGCCCGGAACCUGAAGCUGGGAGGAUGCGUGCAGGUGGCGGGGAGACAGAGGGGCGAUGGCUAAGGCAUACCCAAUUUCUUUUGGGCUGAAAAUGGUCUAAAGUUGACUGUGGUGAUGGCUGUACAACUCUGAAUAUGCUGAAAACUCGAAUUAUACACUUCAGUUGGGCGAACUGUACUCUGUGAAUUACCUCUCGAUGAUUCUCUCCUGGGCUCAAGUGCUUCUCCUGCCUUGGCCUCCUGAGUAGCUGGAACUACCAUUCAUGUGGGGAAAUAAAACAACUCAGUCUCAAAAAAAAAACUCAACUCAAAACUCAGUCUCAAAAAUAAAACAAAAAACAAAGUAAAAGAGACUACCAA